CCUACGUGAGGCAGCAGUGAGGAAUAUUGGUCAAUGGACGAGAGUCUGAACCAGCCAAGUAGCGUGAAGGAUGACUGCCCUAUGGGUUGUAAACUUCUUUUAUAUGGGAAUAAAAUGUUCCACGUGUGGGAGUUUGUAUGUACCAUAUGAAUAAGGAUCGGCUAACUCCGUGCCAGCAGCCGCGGUAAUACGGAGGAUCCGAGCGUUAUCCGGAUUUAUUGGGUGUAAAGGGAGCGUCGGUGGAUUGUUAAGUCAGUUGUGAAAGUUUGCGGCUCAACCGUAAAAUUGCAGUUGAAACUGGCAGUCUUGAGUACAGUAGAGGUGGGCGGAAUUCGUGGUGUAGCGGUGAAAUGCUUAGAUAUCACGAAGAACACCGAUGGCGAAGGCAGUUCACUGGACUGCAACUGACACUGAGGCUCGAAAGUGUGGGUAGCAAACAGGAUUAGAUACCCUAGUAGUC
rnacentral:rRNA from 1 species